ncrna:unclassified sequences L31-Firmicutes ribosomal protein leader
CUAUAUUUCCGUCAAGGAUUUAUGGCAAAGGAG